CCAUAAUCUUCCUCCAAAGAUGAGGAAUCAUUUUGUUGUGAAUUGCCAGCAAGCAGGUCCACUAUCCUAUCUAUAGUGGAUGAACUACUCUUUUUCUUCUUGGAUAUAUCACUAUUUUCCAAAGGCUGAAACCCCUUUGGAUCAUUUCUUGGCAUAGAGGGAGCAUUUCGAAAUUUCAUCUUUUUCUUAAACAUCAAUGUUCUAUUUAACU
rnacentral:lncRNA from 1 species